GAUGAACGCUAGCGGCAGGCUUAAUACAUGCAAGUCGUGGGGCAGCGCGGGUAGCAAUACCUGGCGGCGACCGGCAAACGGGUGCGGAACACGUACGCAACCUUCCUUUAAGCGGGGAAUAGCCCAGGGAAACUUGGAUUAAUACCCCAUAAGAUUAUGGUGUGGCAUCACACAGUAAUUAAAGCUCCGGCACUUAAAGAUGGGCGUGCGGCUGAUUAGGUAGUUGGCGGGGUAACGGCCCACCAAGCCUACGAUCAGUAACUGGUGUGAGAGCACGACCAGUCACACGGGCACUGAGACACGGGCCCGACUCCUACGGGAGGCAGCAGUAAGGAAUAUUGGUCAAUGGACGCAAGUCUGAACCAGCCAUGCCGCGUGGAGGAUGAAGGCCCUCUGGGUUGUAAACUUCUUUUAUUUGGGAAGAAACCGGACUUUUCUAAGACCGUGACG
rnacentral:rRNA from 1 species